GAUGAACGCUGGCGGCGUGCCUAAUACAUGCAAGUCGAGCGAACGGACGAGAAGCUUGCUUCUCUGAUGUUAGCGGCGGACGGGUGAGUAACACGUGGAUAACCUACCUAUAAGACUGGGAUAACUUCGGGAAACCGGAGCUAAUACCGGAUAAUAUUUUGAACCGCAUGGUUCAAAAGUGAAAGACGGUCUUGCUGUCACUUAUAGAUGGAUCCGCGCUGCAUUAGCUAGUUGGUAAGGUAACGGCUUACCAAGGCAACGAUGCAUAGCCGACCUGAGAGGAGGAUCAGCCAAACGGGGAGCGAGACACGGCCCAGACUCCUACGGGAGGAAGCAGUGGGGAAUAUUAGACAAUGGGGGCAACCAUGAUCUAGCAAUGACGCGUGAGUGAUGAAGGGCUUAGGGUUGGAAAGCCCUGGCAGCGGGGAAGAUAAUGACGGUAACAGCAGAAGAAGACACGGCUAACUCCGUG
rnacentral:rRNA from 1 species